rnacentral:pre_miRNA from 1 species
UUUCUACUCCCUCCGUCCGAAAAUACUUGUCAUCAAAAUGGAUAAAAAUAGAUGUAUCUAAAACUAAAAUACGUCUAGAUACAUUUCCUUUUAUCCAUUUUGAUGACAAGUAUUUCCGGACUGAGGGAGUAUUUG